rnacentral:lncRNA from 1 species
UCACAUUCUAUAAUAUUUCAAAUUCUUUUAUUUUUCCCUCAAAUUAUACAAUAUUGUUGGUGGUGCAAAACAAGCAUUGGUGGCUCCAAGAGUUCAAAUUUGCUAGGAAUUUCUGCAUCGAUUCUCUAAUUGAGUAACAUACUUCACCCCUACUACUUUAUUUUUUUGUUACAUUUUUUUUUUAUAUUUAUUACUUUAUUAUUUUUGGCAUAAUAUUUUAUCAAUAAUUAUAAUAUGACAAGUGUUUCUUCAUCUAGUCCAUGUGAUGAAAUAUCAUCAAACAAAAAAUUUACUUCAAAUAUAUGGAAUUUUUUUGAUAGAAUAGAAAUAAUUUU